rnacentral:rRNA from 1 species
UACGGAGGAUCCAAGCGUUAUCCGGAAUCAUUGGGUUUAAAGGGUCCGUAGGCGGUUUAAUAAGUCAGUGGUGAAAGCCCAUCGCUCAACGGUGGAACGGCCAUUGAUACUGUUAGACUUGAAUUAUUAGGAAGUAACUAGAAUAUGUAGUGUAGCGGUGAAAUGCUUAGAGAUUACAUGGAAUACCAAUUGCGAAGGCAGGUUACUACUAAUGAUUGACGCUGAUGGACGAAAGCGUGGGUAGCGAACAGG